UACGGGGGGAGCAAGCGUUGUUCGGAUUUACUGGGCGUAAAGGGCGCGUAGGCGGUCGUGACAAGUCACUUGUGAAAUCUCCGGGCUUAACUCGGAACGGUCAAGUGAUACUGUCGGACUAGAGUACAGAAGGGGCAACUGGAAUUCUCGGUGCAGCGGUGAAAUGCGUAGAUAUCGAGAGGAACACCUGCGGCGAAGGCGGGUUGCUGGGCUGAUACUGACGCUGAGGAGCGAAAGCGUGGGGAGCAAACAGG
rnacentral:rRNA from 1 species